rnacentral:rRNA from 1 species
GGGUUAGUAGGUUGGUCAUGCCUCUGGUAUGUACUGGUCUCACUGAUUCCUCCUUCCUGAUGAACCGUAAUGCCAUUAAUUUGGUGUUGCGGGGAAUUUGGACUGUUACUUUGAAAAAAUUAGAGUGUUUAAAGCAGGCAUUUUGCUUGAAUACAUUAGCAUGGAAUAAUAAAAUAGGACGGCAUGAUUCUAUUUUGUUGGUUUCUAAGAUUGACGUAAU